UUGGUUUCAAAAAUGGAAUCUGAAAUAUCUUUUGAGGGAUUUAUAACGCAAGAGAGUGGAUGUGGAGGCGAUAGAGGCGGUUCAGGCGACGUCGGUUUUGGAGAAUAAGGGGGGUGAUAGCACACGGUUUUUAGUGUCGAAAUGUACAAGAAGACAACAGCUAUAAAUUCUUGUCGGAUAAGAGGUAACUUGAUGGAAUUUUCAAACUUUUCAUUGUGAUAUUAUCUAGUCGCUCCGAGUAACGAAGAUGGUGUCUUUGUGGUUUUGAUUGUGGAAUUUUCAAACUUUGGGGCCAUAGAUGGCUGAUACUCUUGGCUUCUUUCUUUUGUUUGGAACUAAAAUAAUUAUCUUCAAUUUAUGAUAGUGAUGAGAUUCCUCUUGGCUGCUUAUUACAACUUGAUUGAUUGUGAAUCCGAAUUCAUCCAUGACAGUUGACUUGUCAAUUUACGCCGGUAGAGCUUUGGUUUCGUUUCUCAGUUGGGGCUGGGCUUCUUGUAAAGGAGCAGUGCUCGUUUAAGCCUAGAAAAUAGGGUUAGGCGUACAAUAGGGGAAUCUCGGCAAGUCUAUUGUUAAGUGAGAUUUUAGAUUUUAUCGUAUUUUUAAUAUAAAUUUUUUAUGAAAU
rnacentral:lncRNA from 1 species